UACGUAGGGGGCGAGCGUUGUCCGGAUUUAUUGGGCGUAAAGGGCGCGUAGGCGGAAUGGCAAGUCGGUCGUGAAAUCCUUCGGCUCAACCGAAGAACGUCGAUCGAAACUGCCGUUCUUGAGGAUUGCAGAGGAGACUGGAAUUCCCGGUGUAGCGGUGAAAUGUGUAGAGAUCGGGAGGAACACCGGUGGCGAAGGCGGGUCUCUGGGCAAUUCCUGACGCUGAGGCGCGAAAGCGUGGGGAGCAAACGGG
rnacentral:rRNA from 1 species